AACAAACGCUGGCGGCGUGCCUAAUACAUGCAAGUCGAACGGGGAAACCUUUCGGGUGCGUACUAGUGGCGCACGGGGGAGGAACGCGUGGAUAAUCUGCCCUAGAGUGGGGGAUAACGAGCCGCAAGAUUAGCUAAUACCGCAUAAGACCACGGGAGCUGCGGCUUGUGGGGUCAAAGGUUUUUCGCUCUAAGAGGAGUCCGCGUAAGAUUAGCUAGUUGGUGAGGUAACGGCCUACCAAGGCGACGAUCUGUACCUGGUCUGAGAGGAUGAUCAGUCAAGCUGGCACUGGGAGACGGCCCAGGCUACUACGGGAGGCAGGAGGAGGGAAUAUUGCAGAAAGGAGGAGUCUCUGAUGCAGCGCCGCCGCGUGAGUGAUGAAGGUGUUGGGAUCGUAAAGCUCUGUCGCAGGGGAAUAACACAAUGACGGUACCCGGUGAGAAAGGAUCGGCUAACUUCGUG
rnacentral:rRNA from 1 species